GCCCCUUCCCAAAAGCCCCCGCACGAAGCCUCCCAAAAUCCUCAGCCUCCAGUACGCCGCUGCCAUUGCACUCCCCUCCUCCAAUCCAGUCACCACAGAUCGCCGCUGGCAGCUCAAUCCCGUGCAUCCUCCAUCCACUUGUGGCCGCCACCGCCGUCGCUUCUCCCGCGGCCGUUCUGCUUCCCCCCGCCCUACGGCUUCCCGUCAUUCCCCAUCCGCCACCACGACCACCACUGGGGACGCGGACCCGAUGGGCGCCAUCGACGGCACCGUCACAACCCCCCGUCUUCCCCUUCUCCGACGGCAACCCCGUGUAGCCGCCGCUUCUAUCUCCCCCAAGCUGAGUGCUUCCCCUCUCUACCUCUAAGCAAAUCGAGUUGAACCCUUGUGAAAUCGAUCUCCAGAUUCAAUCUCCACACGAACUCCAUCCCUAUUCAUGAAAUCCAUAAAAAAUCUCAACGAAUCCGAGUUCAAUCCGACCACCUCGGAUCCUGGGUGCCGCCUAUGUAUAUCAAGGGAGUUUGAUCUACAGGAGGGGGGGGGGGCAGAUUGAAGAAGUGGGCAGAUCCCUGCUGCUGGGCUCGGGCGGAGCCCCUGCUGUCACUGCCCAUGGCGGACGGAGGAGAGAGGAUGGAGGCCCUGCCACCCUCGCUGCAACCCAAAGUACAGGAGGAGAGCACUAUCUUGCCAUACCCAUUGCGCAUAUACCAACUGUAAAUAACCUUGAGAGAACCAAAGAUGAUCACCAAUUAGUCAGUCACAUGGUGAAGGUGGGGAAAGAUUUGUUCAAUCGAGAUGCUCCUGAUUCUGAGGAACACAAGUAUUAUCAAAAGGAAUAUAUUUGAUCAGUUUGUGUUGUAUACUUGUUUGGGUUUCAUCAGCCCCCAUUUAAUAGUGUUGAUCACCUUCAUCUUCGCUGCCUGGCACUUCCAUUUAUGCCUAGUUGGAGAGAAGUUAAAUAUACACCUUUGGGACCCUUAGGGGGUUUUAUUGAAGCUGAGGCGCUAUUGGAAAGAAUAAAACCACAAGCAGAAACAUACAGUUAGCAUGGAUACUUUGAUUGGCAGGGCUGGACGGUGCUAACUAGCAGAUUUGAGCUGUACGCAUGUUUGGUGGCUUUUUGGUGUACAAAGUUAGAUUUGAGCUGUACACAGGCAGACAUGUUUGGUGGCUUCUGGGUUAUGAGCUUUAGAUCUGAGAAUGCUUCUGUUAAAAAAUGCUAUCAUUUAGUAUUUUCAGCAUGCAAGUAUGUAUUUUGGAUCAUUGAAGUCGAUGUAUACUUGUCUGUAGUACUAUGGAAUAUGUGAACUGUGACCUUUUGGUUGA